rnacentral:misc_RNA from 1 species
GCGAAUUUAAAGAGAAGAAAGAAGACCUAUUUGUGUUCGGCUACUCGUGCAAAUUAUUCAGGGACAACGAAAAAGCACUGCACAUUGAUCAAGGAAAGCACCUCAUUCCGUGGAUGGGGGAUGAAACGUUGAAAAUCGACAGGUUCGAACCGUUUUUUACUAUAAGACUGCUAACUGUGGCGCUAAAAAUUAUUAAAGUAAAUUAAACGGCCAGGAAAUACUAAAUUUUUAGAAGAUAUUUAAGAUUUUCGCAGAGGAUGUUUGAGGCAGCCGGUGGAAAAGACUUCGUGUGCCGGGCUGUCGCGCUGCACAUUAUGUUAUGGUGACGAACCUUGGUGGUAUGAUGCGAGGGGAGCUCUACACGACCUGUCUACAUUGGAGGCCCCCCCUGGGGGGUACGAUUGGCGCAUUGAGCUCACAAGGAAUGAGUUGGAGGUGGAACAGCUUUGUGAUGAAGAGCGAUAUAGAGCUUUACA